AACGAACGCUGGCGGCAGGCUUAACACAUGCAAGUCGAACGGUCUCUUCGGAGGCAGUGGCAGACGGGUGAGUAACGCGUGGGAAUCUACCCAGAUCUACGGAACAACAGUUGGAAACGACUGCUAAUACCGUAUACGCCCUACGGGGGAAAGAUUUAUCGGAUUUGGAUGAGCCCGCGUAAGAUUAGCUAGCUGGUGAGGUAAUGGCUCACCAAGGCGGCGAUCUUUGGCUGGUCUGAGAGGAUGAUCAGCCACACUGGGACUGAGACACGGCCCAGACUCCUACGGGAGGCACCAGUGGGGAAUAUUGGACAAUGGGCGCAAGCCUGAUCCAGCCAUGCCGCGUGAGUGAUGAAGGCCUUAGGGUUGUAAAGCUCUUUCAGUGGGGAAGAUAAUGACGGUACCCACAGAGGAAGCCCCGGCUAACUUCGUGCCAGCAGCCGCGGUAAUAC
rnacentral:rRNA from 1 species